UGUUUCGGGGCGGGGUGAAAUUCCCCACCGGUGGUAAAGCCCACGAGCGUUAAGCUGAUUUGGUGUAAUUCCAAAGCCGACGGUAAAGUCCGGAUGAGAGAAG
rnacentral:ncRNA from 1 species